rnacentral:rRNA from 1 species
AUUGAACGCUGGCGGCAUGCUUUACACAUGCAAGUCGAACGGCAACAGGGAGCUUGCUCCGCUGACGAGUGGCGAACGGGUGAGUAAUAUAUCGGAACGUACCCAGAAGUGGGGGAUAACGUAGCGAAAGUUACGCUAAUACCGCAUACGAUCUACGGAUGAAAGUAGGGGACCUUCGGGCCUUAUGCUUUUGGAGCGGCCGAUAUCUGAUUAGCUAGUUGGUGAGGUAAAGGCUCACCAAGGCGACGAUCAGUAGCUGGUCUGAGAGGACGACCAGCCACACUGGAACUGAGACACGGUCCAGACUCCUACGGGAGGCAGCAGUGGGGAAUUUUGGACAAUGGGCGCAAGCCUGAUCCAGCAAUGCCGCGUGAGUGAAGAAGGCCUUCGGGUUGUAAAGCUCUUUUGUCAGGGAAGAAACGGUAGAGGCUAAUAUCCUUUGCUAAUGACGGUACCUGAAGAAUAAGCACCGGCUAACUACGUGCCAGCAGCCGCCGUAAAAC